CAGUCGCCGCGGGAAUACGUAGGUGGCAAGCGUUGUCCGGAAUUAUUGGGCGUAAAGGGCUCGCAGGCGGUUUCUCAAGUCUGAUGUGAAGGCCCCCGGCUCAACCGGGGAGGGUCAUUGGAAACUGGGAAACUUGAGUGCAGAAGAGGAGAGUGGAAUUCCACGUGUAGCGGUGAAAUGCGUAGAGAUGUGGAGGAACACCAGUGGCGAAGGCGACUCUCUGGUCUGUAACUGACGCUGAGGAGCGAAAGCGUGGGGAGCGAACAGGAUUAGAUACCCCGGUAGUCCCUGUCUCUUAUAC
rnacentral:rRNA from 1 species